rnacentral:tRNA from 1 species
GACCUGUUAGCUCAGCGGCAGAGCAUCAAGAGUAAUGUCCUUGAAGGCCAAGGGUUCGAAUCCCUUACGGGUCG